GGCACAGAGGAUUUGAACAGAAUGAGAGUCCUCCUCUGUGCAGGGAGAAAGGCUUCAGUGGGUCUCCCCCUCCCUGCUAGGGAUCCUCCUUGCCAGCCCUGGGCUGGGGGCUGGCAGGCCCAUUCCCAGGUCUCUCGCCGAGGGCAGGAGAGGAGCCAGGCCUCAGGAGAGAAGUGCUUACUGAGUAAUUUACCAAAAGCUAUAUAGGCUUCCCACUGAGCCAGAUGGGAUCCCCAGGAGGGGAGUCAGAGGCGGGCCUGGCAUGCAUGCACAGAGAGAGUGCACCCACUUGGGGAGCGUGAAGGGCCUUGCCAUGGGACCUGAGAUGAUUAGCAGAGUCAAGUGGCAGGUGGGACACACAGUCUGCAGUCACUUCUUGAAAGGCCCUGGGUGGUGUGUCCUUCAGUGAUGACCAUUGUCCACGAUAGUGAGUUCCAGAGGGUCGACUGGGACAGUUGGGUAGCCAAGGACCAGAGUCAGGAGGGAGAGCUGAUGAGCAAGAGGCUGUUGCCAUCGGCCAGGCAAGGCGUGAGGGAGGCCGAUGGAGCGCAGCAGCAGAGGGAUGGAGAGGCAGGAAUGGCAUCUCUUCACAGGCCAGGCUCCUCUGCCGGAUUGGGUAGGGACGGGAAGAUGAUGGCCCCCAACCCUGGGCCAAGGAACAACAGCACCCAUCCGGGGGCGGGAGACCUGCUGGAGUACUUCUCCUGGACCACGGCUCAGUGGGCAGUAGAGGGAACAAUGGUGUUUCUGACCAGGAUGGGGGAAGGCAGGGGAAUGGAGGAAGAUACUGGCAGGGUACAGAGCUGGUAGAAUGGAGCGAGGGCCAUCUCCACCGGGCUAGGAAAUGGGGCUUUGGUGGGCCACACUCCAUUGUGCUGGAGCACUCUGGCAUCUCCAUUGGCAGUGGGGAGGGGCUUGUGACCUAUCAGCAUCUUCACCCUUUCCGAGUUUCCGCCGGGCUGGGCUCUCCAGCCAGGAGUCACAGGUACCAGGUGGUUGUUCAUGCUGAGGCCUUUUGCUUGGCAAAACAUUAAUCCAUUUGUGUUCAUUUUUAACCUAAGCAAGGGUUGGAACUUGUUGGAUUCAGCAUCUGUGGAACACAGUCUGUAGCCCAUGGGAAGGCGUGGACAUUCUUUCCCAAGUUCUUGAAGGACGGAAAGGACCAUGAACUUGUGAGGUGACCGGAGGAUUGGUUUUGGGUGUCAGUUUUGUGUCUGUCCCAGUGCUGCCACUUUUGCUUCGAAGUGGACAGGGAGAGCUGAAGGCCAGCAUGGGUUUCUGCACCUGUUUCCUACAGCUCUGCUGGGGACUGUGGCUCAGGUGGCAGCUGUGGACACGGAUCCAGUCAGCCUUUGGGUGGCCAGAGCUCCAGGGCCAGGUGUCUCUUAGCUGCAAGCAGCCUUCACUGUUAAUCAACAGGCUACACAAAUCUCACCUCUAAAGAGGUGAAAUGUGAAAAUAUAUGGGAAGCACCGCCUUAGCCCUGUGUCCACAGAUCCUUUCUGUAAAGGGCCAGAUAGCAUUUCAGGCUUUAUGGACCAUGUGGUCUCUGCCACAACUGCUCAGCUCUGCCACUGUAGCACAAAAGCAGCUAGAGACUGCGUAAAUAGACAGCAUGGCUGUGUUCUGAUAAAGCUUCACUUACAAAUACACAGGGCUGUAGUUUGCCAACCCCUGCAAAGUAGGGAGUAUUUUGCCAAAGUUGGCUGUAUUUCACCAACCCCUUAGACUGUAGAGAUGACUUACCCUUUGGCUUAAUCAUGACUGGAAACUUCCUUCCCCUCUGCUGCCUGGACCCAUCGACCUCCCCACAAAGGCUUCCUGAGCAUCUCCGCCGUGUGAGCACUGGCUCAACGCACAGGACGAUGUCGUUCCUGCCCAUAUGGAACUUAGGUUUUGAGUGGCACAUGGGACAUUGAAAGAGGAGAGCAGGUGGCUAAAGAGCAUCAUACAGAAAGAACAGGGCUCAGGGAAGUCCCAGGUGGUAGAAUCUCAAAGAGAAGGGCUGAGGGUGAAUCAGGAAAGCCCUGAAGGCAGGCAGCUCUGGAGUCGGGUUUAGACAAGGAGGCUGCAGUUCUCCAAGGAAGGGAAACAGGACCAGAUGAUGGAUGAGAUUGUGUCGAACAGUGAGGAGGCCUGCAUAGUCACACAGGCGCAUGGGGUCUGCUCGUAAAGGACCAGGAGGGCCAGGCUCAGGAUUGUGGACUGGAUUCUCUGGGCAGUAGGGAGCCAUUGGACAGUUGUGCUCAGGAGGGUAAUGUGAUCACAAAUGCUUAUUAGAAAUGUCACUGGCUAUGGAGGACCAUGUCUGUGGUUAUAAGUUACGCCUUUCAGUUUAGUCUGGAUUUUUUGGUCAAGGUACUUUUGGUAUUAGAGUGGGGAAGAGAGGCCCAGAGAGUUGGACAGGUUUUCUGACCACUGGCUUAUAGUCAGUGAGCGCCCCACCUUUAUUUUGACAUGACAGAGCUUGACAGAAUCUUCCUUCUUCAGGCUUUUUCUUUCCUGCUAUCCUAAAGAUUCACGUACAAGGGCAGGAUAAAUGAAACAUUCUGUCUCCAGUCUAAGUUCAGCUUGGGGCCUCACAAUAUGAAGGUAAAGGGGCGGGGACGGACUGCCCCUUGCUUCAGAAUCAAGUCACAUGGCGGGAAUGCUCUAUGGAGCAGAUUGCUUCCUUUGUACAUGCCCUAGGCCCAUGUUCAGCAGGCCUCAGAGAAGCAGAGAUGCUGGCCUCUCAUCUCCAGAGGUUGCCAGCUACUAAGGGAGGUGGAAUCGACUACCCCUGGGGGUGGACUGCUCUGGGCCGGGCCUGACAUCAGGCAUAGGGGACUGAGGUGAAUCAGACAUGGUGGCUGCAUUGAGGAAUGCUCAGUGUCGUUGGGGUGAUAAAAAAACCCACGGCUGUUUGUAGCGCUUUCUGCUGAGCAUGGUCUUUCCUGUCAGAGGGGUUUCUAGGCACGCUGAAGGGAGCUGCUAUUCAGAGCAUCGGAGAGGUGCCAGGGACGUGAGCUGCUGCCAGUUUGACAUGAACAGAAGCUGGGAGUAGCUACUGUUGCUGUGCGUUGAUAGGAGCACAGUGUCCACUGUGAAGGGGCGGGUAGGGCUGGAGAAAGAUAGCCUAAUACAAGCGCCUCCACAGGUGCUGAUUCAGUGAAGCCCCAACAGCCCCGCGGGGUAGGUGAUGAUCACAUGCAGCUCGGAGAAGAGAAGGCACUUGCCCCUCUGCCUGAGCUGGGAGGUGGUGGCCAGCUCCACACAGGGCUGUCCCAGGAUGCUGACGAGGUGGGACCAGCCACAGGCUGGCAGCGCUGCACCGUGACCCCCCUUUCACAGGGCCCAGCCUUGUUUCUGGCCUUCUGGGACUGAGUCAGGAGGUGAGGGCAUGUUGCUGCCCCAGCACAGUCGGGCCAGGUGUGGAGAAAGGCAGGAGGGAGGUGUGCUGUGCUCUGAGCAGCCUGGCAGGCCCUGGAGAGGCAGGAAGCCACUGCAAACUUCGGAAACUGGGUGCUGCUUCCUCUCAGUGAAGUUGUGUUUUGCUAACCUCUGAUAAUCAGGUGAGGGAUACAGAAGGAAGAGUUGCCCCUGGGUGGCUGCUGUCUUUAGACUUGUCGGGCUCCCUCUGGUACAGAAGUGCCUCUCGGAUUUUGCUGCCUGGUCUUCUCUCUUAUGGACAUGGAGUGGCUCUCAGGCUCUUAUGGUACAGCUCUAAGAAGGAACACUUGUUGCAUUUUCUAGUGAAGUUUCUGGGUUUAUGGAAGGGAAACUGACAAACUGGAGCCGGCACAGAUGGACAUUGGGUAAAGAGAAUGCAGCCUGUCCCUGGCUGCAGUGCCAGGUGUGGCCUUUCACGUGGCAGCAAGUCACGUGCUGUGGCUCCAGCUUCAUAGGAAGGCUCUUGUCUGUCAAGCAGUGGAGUUACAGACAAGAGCCUUGCUCAGGCCAGCCCUGCCCCUGCCUACAGGCACAGGUGCUUUGCCAUCUGUCCCGUUUUCCUGCUUAGGGAACCAAAAUGGUCAGAAAGUUUCUUGACUCUAACCUAAAUAUUUCUGCCGCUUUUGCGAGUCAGACUUUUUCUUUUCAUUGUUCAUGGAAAUGGAUCAAGAAUAGGAGUAGGAGUUUUAGAUAGCUAGGGAGGUGGUGAGAAGUUCCUUCUCCACCUAUAAUUUACAAGUCGUGUUUUAGGGUUCCAGCCUCUUUCCUCUGUUCUGGGUAUCUCGUGCUCUCCACCCUUUAGGGAUUUUGGUGUGGUGGGUCAGUGGCAAGACACUCGAUCCAGGCAAGACACACGCAUUUCCGAGGCACUUUCAUGUCACUUACCAAGCCUCCUUGUGUGCAGGUAUCACUUCACUGGCUCCCUCAGGCUGCAGCCCUGACCCCCAAGGUAGUGAUGGCAGCUGGUGCAUGAGGUAUGAUUUGGAAGUAGCCAGGCAAGCCCUGGUUGCAAAAAAUACCUCUUCUAUCCCGACAGCAGGCCAGAGGCGCUGCCAUUAGACGCAUCCCUCUACCUACCCCCGAUCACUUUUCAUGGUCAGGCCGGCCUUGCACAAUCAGGUUCUGUUCACUCCGCACCCCCAUUUCUUAGAUGGGGUACUGAGCACUGCUUUUCCCUUAGCUUACUUCAUGUGGCAGCUUCUCAGGGAUGGGACCUACCAUGGCUGUGGGAGAUGCUUCGCUACUACUUACUACCUUUCCGAGGGAGGAGGGCUCAUUUUUAGAAACGUUACUGGGGAGCCAAAUUGUAGGCAUCCGACCAGAGGGCCUCGCUCUCUUCAUCUCCCAGGAAUCAAGGGUAGCUCUGGCUCUCUGAGGAGCUGUCUCCAGCCUCCAGGUGGACGUCCUUUCCAGCAUACCAGGGCUUAUGGAGGCAAAAUGAAAGCUGGUCCACGUGGGAACUCCCUGCUGUUGUCCUUUCCUUGGGCAGACACCAUAUACUUUUCAGCUCCUAGCAGUGUUUACCCUGUUUUCCCCAAAGCAUCCUUGGACUCAGGCCUUUCAUCCUGGACCCAUCUGUCUGGCCUGUUGUGCUGAGCCUUUGGUCUAAGUGGUUGGUUGGUCCCAGCCACUUCUUCAAAAGGUUUCCUGAGGUAACCAUAAAUUAGGGCAAUUGUACUUCCAGGAACAGUGAGGCUGAUGGGCCUGUUCCCAAGGGUGCUUUGGCAGGGGGUGCUGGGGAAGGGGCUGGCCUAGGGCCAGGUUCAUCAUACCAUUAGCCCUACAGCCCCAUGCCUUUGUGUCCUGGUUUACCCGCUGUGUAGUGGUCCUGCAGGAGUGGAGCCUGUAGGACUUGCUUCUCACCGGCUCCAAGCAGAACUCUGGGAAGGUGGGAGGUGCAGCCAGUCUAGACCUGAAGCCCUCACACUAAGGACUAAGGUAGGCCUGCUCAGCCUUAGCCCUUCGUCAGCCCCAAGGGUGGGGGAGGCAGGAGGAGGCUGAGCGUAGUCAUGGAUGGAAACCUUUCCCUACUGCACGGUUACACACAUGGCAUUGGACUCCUGGCUGUAGCUCACUCGGGUCUACUGAAAACCAAGUUAGUUUUUAGAAAUCUAUUUAAAAUAUCUAUCAUGUAUCUAUUUACUGUGUUUUUCUGAAUACGCAAGUGUAAAUAGUAUAAUUUGCAGUGCAAAGUCCUUGGCAAUAACUUUGUGUGUUAUGUUUAAAAACACUGGAAACCGCGACCACCAUGGACUGCCCUUCCCCUCUGAGGCAAUUAUUACAUGUAGGACUCUGAACUUUAAACCUUCAGCGUGACUGAAGCAGCAGCCUGCACAUGUGGAUGGUCAUCAGUGCCUCGCCCAGAGAUGCCUGGCCUUCAUCCAAAGGGACCCUGCUGUCACAAGUCCUCCAGGCAGCACCCGCACUGUGGCUCCUUCGCACUGAGUUUGUUGGACUCUGCCAUAGACUGACCCUCUUGUCUGGCUGCUGCAGUUUGUCUGUAAUGCCCUGACAUGUUGCAUUUUCCCCAUUUGGAUAAAUAAAAACAAAUGCUUCUGUCACACACA
rnacentral:sRNA from 1 species